rnacentral:rRNA from 1 species
AACGAACGCUGGCGGCGCGCCUAAUACAUGCAAGUCGAGCGAGAAGACGUAGCAAUACGUUUGUAAAGCGGCGAACGGGUGAGGAAUACAUGGGUAACCUACCCUCGAGUGGGGAAUAACUAGCCGAAAGGUUAGCUAAUACCGCGUACGCUUCUUGGACUUCGGUUCAGGGAGGAAAGCGAUACCGUGGGUAUCGCGCUCUUGGAUGGGCUCAUGUCCUAUCAGCUUGUUGGGAGGUAACGGCUCACCAAGGCCUCGACGGGUAGCUGGUCUGAGAGGACGAUCAGCCACACUGGCACUGCGACACGGGCCAGACUCCUACGGGAGGCAGCAGUAAGGAAUAUUGCGCAAUGGGCGAAAGCCUGACGCAGCGACGCCGCGUGGGGGAUGAAGGUCUUCGGA